UUUCCGUAGGUGAACCUGCGGAAGGAUCAUUAUUGAAUAAACCUGAUGUGACUGUUAGCUGGCUUUUCGAAGCAUGUGCUCGUCCGCCAUCUUUAAUCUCUCCACCUGUGCACAUUUUGUAGUCUUGGAUACCUCUCGAGGCAACUCGGAUUUUAGGAUCGCCGUGCUGUACAAGUCGACUUUUCUUUCAUUUCCAAGACUAUGUUUUUAUAUACACCAAAGUAUGUUUAAAGAAUGUCAUCAAUAGGAACUUGUUUCCUAUAAAAUUAUACAACUUUCAGCAACGGAUCUCUUGGCUCUC
rnacentral:misc_RNA from 1 species